GAGAAAGACAUAGUGGUUAUGGGACUGGCUUGAAACCAGUUUUAGGGGGUUCGAUUCCUUCCUUUCUUA
rnacentral:tRNA from 2 species